UAUGACCACAUCAUGUUGAAACAUUGGUUCCCAUACAAUUGCUGAAGUUAAACAAUGAUGAGCCUGGUCUUUACCUAGAUGGGUGACCACUUGGGAAUACCAUGUGCUGUAAU